rnacentral:rRNA from 1 species
CGUCUAGGCGGAUUUGUAAGUUAGGUGUGAAAUCCCUCGGCUCAACCGAGGAACUGCACUUAAAACUGUAGAUCUUGAGUUCGGAAGAGGAAAGCGGAAUUCCUGGUGUAGCGGUGAAAUGCGUAGAUAUCAGGAAGAACACCAGUGGCGAAGGCGGCUUUCUGGUCCGAUACUGACGCUGAAGCGCGAAAGUGUGGGGAGCAAACAGGAUUAGAUACCCUGGUAGUCC